UACGAAGGGGGCUAGCGUUGCUCGGAAUCACUGGGCGUAAAGCGCACGUAGGCGGAUUACUAAGUCAGGGGUGAAAUCCUGGAGCUCAACUCCAGAACUGCCUUUGAUACUGGUAAGCUCGAGUCCGGGAGAGGUGAGUGGAACUGCGAGUGUAGAGGUGAAAUUCGUAGAUAUUCGCAAGAACACCAGUGGCGAAGGCGGCUCACUGGCCCGGUACUGACGCUGAGGUGCGAAAGCGUGGGGAGCAAACAGG
rnacentral:rRNA from 1 species